GAUGAGCGCUGGCGGCGUGCCUAAUACAUGCAAGUCGUACGGAAAGGCCCUUCGGGGUACUCGAGUGGCGGACGGCUGAGUAACGCGUGGGAACGUGCCCCAAAGUGAGGGAUAACGCACCGAAAGGUGUGCUAAUACCGCAUAUGGUCUUCGGAUUAAAGCUUCGGCGCUUUGGGAGCGGCCCGCGUACGAUUAGAUAGUUGGUGAGGUAAUGGCUCACCAAGUCGACGAUCGGUAGCUGGUCUGAGAGGAUGAUCAGCCAGACUGGGACUGAGACACGGCGCAGACUCCUACGGGAGGCAGCAGUAAGGAAUCUUCCACAAUGGGGGCAACCCUGAUGGAGCAACGCCGCGUGCAGGAUGAAGGUUUUCGGAUCGUAAACUGCUUUUAUAAGUGAAGAAUAUGACGGUAACUUAUGAAUAAGGAUCGGCUAACUACGUGCCAGCCGCCGCAGUAACAC
rnacentral:rRNA from 1 species